rnacentral:rRNA from 1 species
UGCCUCUCGAUCAAAAAAUAAGAGGUACGUCCUGCCCAGUGAACUAAGGUUUAAACGGCCGCGGUAUACCUGACCGUGCAAAGGUAGCAUAAUCAUUUGCCUUUUAAUUGGAGGCUAGUAUGAAUGGAUAAACGAGGGACCAGCUGUCUCAUAUAAAUUAAUAAAAAUUAAUCUCCAGGUGAAGAAGCCUGGUUAUCACUAAAAGACAAGAAGACCCUAUAGAGUUUUACUUAAAUUCACAACAAUUUAUAAAUUAAUAUAUUUAAAUUAAUGUAAACAAGUUUAGUUGGGGCGACUAAGGAAUAAGAAUACCUUCCUUAAAAUAAAGAAUAUAUUCACACACCAGAUCCUAAAAAGACCAAAAGAAUAACAUUACCUUAGGGAUAACAGGCUAAUCUCCCCAGAGAGUCCAAAUUGACGGGGAGGGUUGGCACCUCGAUGUUGGCUUAAGACAACUAUUAAAUGCAGCAGUUUAAAUAAGUUGGUUUGUUCAACCAUUAAAGUCUU